rnacentral:ncRNA from 1 species
CCAAAAACACAACGUUUUGGUCCUGAACUUGCUGUUGUUUUUAACUAGUUUUACACAUGCAAGCAUCAACACCCCAGUGAAAAUACCCAUAUUAUAUCCUAAUAAGAUUAACGGAGUAGGUAUCAGGCACAACAACCUUAGCCAACGACACCUUGCAAAGCCACACCCCCACGGGCCCGCAGCAGUGAUUAACAUUAAACAUAAGCGAAAGCUUGAUUUAGCCAUAGUUUAUUUAGAGGUUGGUAAAUUUCGUGCCAGCCACCGCGGUUAUACGAGAAGCCCAAAACAACAACCAUCGGCGUAAAGAGUGGCUAGAGUCCUUCAACUAAGGGCGAAUACUUUCUCUGCUGUAAAACGCAAAAGAAAACAAGAACAUCAUACCCUUAAAUAUUCUUUACUCCACGAAAGCAAGGACACAAACUGGGAUUAGAUACCCCACUAUGCCCUGCCAUAAACUAAGAUAGAAAAACACAACCUAUCCGCCAAAGAACUACAAGCAAAAUGCUCAAAACUUAAAGGACUUGGCGGCAUUUUAUAUCAGUCUAGAGGAGCCCGUCCUAUAAUCGAUACUACACGUUAAACCAAACCACUUUUGGCCACUCCAGCCUAUAUACCGCCGUCGCCAGCUAACCUUGUGAAAGACAAAAAGUUAGCAAAAUAGCCCCCACUAGAACGUCAGGUCAAGGUGUAGCUAAUAAAGUGGAUGAGAUAGGCUACAUUUUUUUUCUAAAAAAAUCACGGACAGUACCAUGAAAUCUCGUACUCGAAGGAGAAUUUAGCAGUAAAACUAGAAAGAACUCUAAUUUUAACAUUGCCCUAAAAUGCGCACACACCGCCCGUCACCCUCCUCAACAAAGUUAGAUGAGGUAAG